rnacentral:rRNA from 1 species
UACGGAGGGCGCAAGCGUUGUCCGGAAUCACUGGGCGUAAAGGGGGCGCAGGCGGCUUGCUAAGUCCUGUGUGAAAUCCCACGGCUCAACCGUGGAAAGCUACAGGAUACUGGCGAGCUCGAGACGGGUAGAGGCGAGUGGAAUUCCCGGUGUAGCGGUGGAAUGCGUAGAUAUCGGGAAGAACACCAGUGGCGAAGGCGACUCGCUGGGCCCGUUCUGACGCUCAGGCCCGAAAGCGUGGGGAGCAAACAGGAUUAGAUACCCUGGUAGUCCACGCCGUAAACGAUGGGCACUAGGUGCUGGAGAGUGUGACCUCCUCGGUGCCGUAGCUAACGCGUUAAGUGCCCCGCCUGGGGAGUACGGCCGCAAGGCUGAAACUCAAAGGAAUUGACGGGGGCCCGCACAAGCGGUGGAGCAUGUGGUUUAAUUCGAUGCAACGCGAAGAACCUUACCUGGGCUUGACAUGCUAGGGAACUCGGGUGGAAACAUCCGGGGUCCUUCGGGACCCUAGCACAGGUGCUGCAUGGCUGUCGUCAGCCCGUGUCGUGAGAUGUUGGGUUAAGUCCCGCAACGAGCGCAACCCUUGCCCGUAGUUGCCAGCGGAUAAUGCCGGGGACUCUACGGGGACUGCCGGUGAUAAACCGGAGGAAGGUGAGGGCGACGUCAAGUCAUCAUGGCCCUUACGCUCAGGGCGACACACGUGCUACAAUGGUCGGUACAGUGGGCUGCAAUCCCGCGAGGGUGAGCCAAUCCCAAAAAGCCGGCCUAAGUUCGGAUCGGAGUCUGCAACUCGACUCCGUGAAGCCGGAAUCGCUAGUAAUCGCGGAUCAGCCAUGCCGCGGUGAAUACGUUCCCGGGCUU